rnacentral:misc_RNA from 1 species
CAUUUAGCCUAUGCUGAUGUAAGACACUUCUCCAUUCUGGUUACUAUCUUUUUGUUGUAGUGAAAUAUUAAUCUUUUUUUUUUCCCUCUUGGUUUUCAUGGCUUAAGAAAUUGAUGCAACUAUAAAGAGUAGAAUGGGUCUUGUUUGUAACUAAUGUAGGAAGUCAACUGCAACUUUGAUUUGCCAUCUUCUGAUUUUAAAAUAUAACAAAUUUAUUCUUUCUUUCUAUAAAUGCUAAACUGACAAAAAAUCUCAUUUCUGUAAGUACUUAAUACUCAUCAAACCAUGCAGAAGGAAAUG